UAAUACGUAGGCAGCAAGCGUUGUUCGGAAUUACUGGGCGUAAAGAGUGUGUAGGUGGUGCUCCAAGUCUGUUGUGAAAUCUCCCGGCUUAACUGGGAGGGUGCGGCGGAAACUGGAAUGCUUGAGGAUGGGAGAGGAAAGCGGAAUUCCUGGUGUAGCGGUGAAAUGCGUAGAUAUCAGGAGGAACACCCGUGGUGUAGACAGCUUUCUGGACCAUUUCUGACACUGAGACACGAAAGCGUGGGUAGCAAACAGGAUUAGAUACCCUGGUAGUCCACGCCCUAAACGAUGCAUACUUGGUGUGAGCGAUUCAUUUCGUUCGUGCCGGAGCUAACGCGUUAAGUAUGCCGCCUGGGGAGUACGGUCGCAAGGCUG
rnacentral:rRNA from 1 species